AACGAACGCUGGCGGCAUGCCUAACACAUGCAAGUCGAACGAGACCUUCGGGUCUAGUGGCGCACGGGUGCGUAACGCGUGGGAAUCUGCCCUUGGGUUCGGAAUAACAGUUGGAAACGACUGCUAAUACCGGAUGAUGACGUAAGUCCAAAGAUUUAUCGCCCAGGGAUGAGCCCGCGUAGGAUUAGCUAGUUGGUGGGGUAAAGGCCUACCAAGGCGACGAUCCUUAGCUGGUCUGAGAGGAUGAUCAGCCACACUGGGACUGAGACACGGCCCAGACUCCUACGGGAGGCAGCAGUGGGGAAUAUUGGACAGUGGGCGAAAGCCUGAUCCAGCAAUGCCGCGUGAGUGAUGAAGGCCUUAGGGUUGUAAAGCUCUUUUACCCGGGAUGAUAAUGACAGUACCGGGAGAAUAAGCCCCGGCUAACUCCGUG
rnacentral:rRNA from 1 species